GAGUUUCGGAGGCGGUGACCGUGACGUAGAAGGUGGAGAACGCUUCACCCUGACCAGGGAGGAUCGGCUGCGGGGGCGUAAGGCAUCCAGGAGUGACGUGGGGCUGUGGAGAGCGACCCGUGGCCUUGUGUUUCAGAGUUUACCACCUAGGAUGACAUCAGUGACUAGAUCAGAGAUCAUAGAUGAAAAAGGACCAGUGAUGUCUAAGACUCAUGAUCAUCAAUUGGAAUCAAGUCUCAGUCCUGUGGAAGUGUUUGCUAAAACAAUCUGCCAGUUAUCAAGACAGGAGGCAAUCCUGGCGGCGAGCAAGUAUGAAAGAAACGAACCGGCGGAAGUCGCUGCAUCCCAUUCACCAGGGCAUCACAGAGCUCAGCCGGUCUAUCAGUGUCGAUUUAGCAGAAAGCAAACGGCUUGGCUGUCUCCUGCUUUCCAGUUUCCAGUUCUCUAUUCAGAAACUUGAACCUUUCCUAAGGGACACUAAGGGCUUCAGUCUUGAAAGUUUUAGAGCCAAAGCAUCUUCUCUUUCUGAAGAAUUGAAACAUUUUGCAGACGGACUGGAAACUGAUGGAACUCUACAAAAAUGUUUUGAAGAUUCAAAUGGAAAAGCAUCAGAUUUUUCUCUGGAAGCAUCUGUGGCUGAGAUGAAGGAAUACAUAACAAAGUUUUCUUUAGAACGUCAGACUUGGGAUCAGCUCUUGCUUCACUACCAGCAGGAGGCUGAAGAGAUAUUGUCCAGAGGAUCAACUGAGGCCAAAAUUACUGAGGUCAAAGUGGAGCCUAUGACAUAUCUUGAGUCUUCUCAGAAUGAAGUUCUUAAUACAAAACCUGACUACCAGAAAAUAUUACAGAACCAGAGCAAAGUCUUUGAUUGUAUGGAGUUGGUGAUGGAUGAGCUGCAAGGAUCAGUGAAACAGCUGCAGGCCUUUAUGGAUGAAAGUACCCAGUGCUUCCAGAAGGUGUCAGUACAGCUCGGGAAGAGAAGCAUGCAACAAUUAGAUCCCUCACCAGCUCGAAAACUGUUGAAGCUUCAGCUACAGAACCCACCUGCCACACAUGGAUCUGGAUCUGGAUCUUGUCAGUGACUUUGUGAGAGUUUCUGCCACAAGGUGCCCAAGAGGAGAGGAAUGGGAAGAGUGCCCCAGCACGUGGUGACUGCGUGAUUUCUCCUCAUUGACUUUGAAGAUAACUGGCAGGACUGACUGUAGAGCACUUUGACUUUUUUCAAAAAGUGAUGGAAUUUGUACAUCCAAAUGAAUAUUGUAUAGACAUUUUUCCCAGGAAUGUGCAAAAUGCUUGAAAGUUCAAACUUCUUUUUUGAAAUGAUCUUCAGAUCCAGUGGCCCAUUCUUUUAUCUUUAUCCUGUGAAGGUGUUUUUCAGGUUUUGAAACAAUCCAAAAAUCAUUUAGGACCAAGUCUAAGGAAACAUUUUAGUGGCCAAGUUGGAUUCUGGUUGUAAAGGAAUGAUACUAAUUUUCUAGCAUGGCUCUGAAGGUGAUUUUAGGUAGAAGAGUUUUGAGGCUGUGCGCAAUGGCUCACGCCUGUAAUCCUAGCACUUUGGGAGACUUAGGCGGGUGGAUUGCUUGAGCCCAGAAGUUGAAGACCAGCCUGAGAAAUAAGGUGAAACCCUGUCUACAGAAAAUACAAAAAGUUAGCUGGGUGUGGUGGCGUGCACCUGUAGUGCUAGCUACUCAGAAGGCUGAGGUGGGAGGAUUGUUUGAGCCCAGGAGGUUGAGGCUGCAGUGAGUUCUAAUUGCGCCACUGCACUCCAGCCUGAGGGACAGAGUGAGACACUGUCUUUAAAAAAAUUAAAAAUUGUAAAAAAAUGAAAAAAGUUUUGAGUAUUUUUUGCAUCAUUGGGAUACAUAUGUCACUUCACAAGAUGUUCAAUUUGAAGGAAAUACCACUCAUUCCCUAUGUCCUGUUGUCUGUAGUGUGCUUCAGUUUUUAAUAUUGAGUUGACCUCCUAAAUCCUGGAUUCAUGACAAGAAAGGAGUAAGUACUACUAUUCAUUGUUCUAUUUGUUUAUAAUCUGUAUUGUAAAAUUGCACAUAAUUAAAAGCUUUCCCUUGUCUUUG
rnacentral:sRNA from 1 species